rnacentral:rRNA from 1 species
GACGAAGGGGGCUAGCGUUGUUCGGAAUACUGGGCGUAAAGCGCGUGUAGGCGGUUGUCCAAGUCGGGUGUGAAAGCCUUGAGCUCAACUCAAGAAAUGCACUCGAUACUGGGUGACUUGAGGACCGGAGAGGAUAGUGGAAUUCCCAGUGUAGUGGUGAAAUGCGUAGAUAUCGGAAGGAACACCAGUGGCGAAAGCGGCUUCCUGGUCCAGCAUCGACGUCAGGCACGGAAGCGUGGGAAGCAAACAGGG